CAUUGUAGAGUGAGACCUGUUCUUAUAAAUUCAAAAAUAAAUAAACAGUAAUUAGUGGCAUGAGAGAUUCAUAGCCCAUAAUUUUUAGCCCCAUGUGGGUUGGUCUAAUUAUACCCAAGAAACCGUAAAAAAUUGGAGUGGGGAGAUCUUUCCCUCCGUCGAAUGUGGGGACAUACAAUUUUCUCAGAGGUUUCAUUUUUGGAUUUACUUUUCCCUUUGUCUGUUCGGCCUCCAUCAGCUUCAUAAAUAUGGAUUGAACCGUAGGAGCUGUUUGUGCUGGGAUGUCGUGUCAGCUCUGUUGGGCAUCGAUGACCCGGAUUGCAUCUCUCCCGGUAAACAGAUUGUUAUAGGAUUUGUGUCCUUUAGAGCUCACGGUUCUUGCUCACACCGCUGGGAAGAAUGAAGAGGUAGACCAGAUGCGCGCUGGGCCCUCAAUGACCGUAUGACCUUCAGCACGUCUUGGAGAUGGCCACAGAGGGGGUUCCACGUACCCAACACAUGACCUUCACUCUCCUGGCAGCCAACACAAUUAAUGAACAGCUCCUGUUCAGAAAGUCAAACCGAACACAAGUGAUGUAAUGUGAUCCCUCCCGUCAUCCUGAAUUGAUUUACCCUCCUCAUCGCAAAGCCCUGUGUUUCGGGGAUCCCUUCUGGAAGGUCUGCACAGAGCGUCCCUGAGCCCCCAGAAUGGCAUAUGGUUUCACAUCGCACAAAUACAUCCUAUGAGGCAAGGUGUUCCUUAUCAUAUUACUCUGAGAUCUUUCCCACAAAUAUACAUGUACAGAUCACCUUCCUUUAUUGUUUUUUUUUUUUUAUGGCUAUGACAUAGUCUCUUGGAAGGGCAUGCCUCGAUUUAUUUUUUUUAUUUUGUAGAAUAAAUAGACGUCAUUGCUUGGAGCCGUUUCAGGUUCACAGAAGCAUGCAACACAACGUGCAGAUGGUUCCCACGUCCGCCUGGCCCUGCACCCCGUUUCCCCUCUUACAAACAUCUCCCAUAACUGUGGUACAUGCCUUACCGUUUCUGAACCAGUAUCAACGCAUUCACACCCCAAACCCACAGCAUCCAUCAGGGUUCACUCUGCUGGUGCACAGCCUCUGGGUUUUGCAAAACUCAUCGACCCACCAAGAGGGCAUCCCGCAGAGGUGCCCCACUGCCCUACCACGCAUUAAUUCAUCUCGUCACCACUAUUUGCUGCUGCAGAACCCCAGAAGCCUCCACCCCCGCCCCCCCGGCUCUCGGUCCUCAGCAGAAUCCCUCGAGGAAAUAGGAAAGGUGUCUGAGCCGCCACCCCGAGACAUGCAUCAGUGGGGCCCUGCUAGAGCCCACACUCUGCAGGGUUUUCCAGCGUUUCAUGGACUUCUCCCCAAGUCUGGGUCUUUGAAGCCUAUUGUCCACUCAGCAGCCGUGCUGCAUUUUGCUCGGAGUUUGGGUUGCCAAAUAAAAUACAGGAUACCAGCGGAACUCAAAUUGCAGAUAAACCAGAGAGCACAAGCAGAGGGAGAGGGAGAAGCAGGCUCCCUGCUGAGCAAGGAGGCUGAUGUGGGAUUCGAUCCCAGGACCCUGGGAUCAUGACCUGAGCUGAAGGCAGACGCUUAACCAACGGAGCCACCCAGGAGUCCCAGCCUAAAUAAGACCCCGUAGAUGUUCUCGUUCCUCCGUCCUGGAAAUGAAGAUUAAACGCACAACCACCAGCUUUCUAGCAAGAUCUGACAGAACUCUCAGUCCAAUCUGUCACAUCACGGAAACCGGUUUCCAAACCUCUCCAUUC